AUGAAUGAAAUUGCGGAGGAAGAUUGUUGUUCUUGCAACUUAAAUCAAUGGAUUCAACCUGAGUUGAAAGUCACUGCUACUGUGGAGCAAUGAUGUGAAUGUGGGAGGAAAGGAAAGAUGGUACAAAACAUCCAGGGAGGCGAUUCCUUGGAUGUAUCAAUUAUCAGGUAUGAAUGUAAUAUAUUUUUUCCAUAUUAUUACUUAUGUUAUGGUUGAUGUGUAAUAGGACAAGAAAGCUUACUAUUAUUUCUUUAAAUGGUGUAAUCCAUCAUUUUCUGACAGAGCUAGAGAUGUUAUUGGAGUUUUGACAUUAAAAUUGAAGGUUUGCAAAGAGAUUGUAGAUAAAACGAAGAAGGAAAAAAGUGAGACGGCUAAAAAUUGGUUAGCAACUGAGAUGGCCGAAAGUUCAGUGAAGACCUUGGAGAAUGAGAUUAAAAAGUUGAAGAAGAUGAAUGCCAAACUUGUAGGAAGGGAAAAUUUUUAUUUGUUUCUUUUAAUUUGCUCAUGGAUGUGUGUUUUAGUGUUUGUUGUUUUAUAAAUGUAAAUGUAAGUUUAGAUGCAAUUAGGAUUCCAAGCUUGUAUACAGUUGAGAUUUCAAGAUUCUAUUUUGGUUAUGGAUAUAAAUUGUAAGUUUAGAUGUAACUAGGAUUUCAAGCUUGUAUUUUGGUUAUGAGUAUGAAUGAAUGAAAGG
rnacentral:lncRNA from 1 species